rnacentral:rRNA from 1 species
UACAGAGGGGGCAAGCGUUGUUCGGAAUUACUGGGCGUAAAGGGCGCGUAGGCGGCCGCCUAAGUCAGACGUGAAAUCCCUCGGCUCAACCGGGGAACUGCGUCUGAUACUGGGUGGCUUGAAUCCGGGAGAGGGAUGCGGAAUUCCAGGUGUAGCGGUGAAAUGCGUAGAUAUGCGGAGGAACACCGAUGGCGAAGGCAAUCCCCUGGGCCUGCACUGACGCUCAUGCACGAAAGCGUGGGGAGCAAACAGG